rnacentral:snRNA from 1 species
GGAUGUGAGGGCGAUCUGGCUGCAACAUGUCACCCCAUUGAUUGCCAGGGUUGAUUCAGCUGAUCUGGCUGGCUCGGCAGGUGUCCCCUUCCUCCCUCAACGAUCCAUGUGCGUCCAUCCCAAAGCUGCAUGCUCAGUCGAAGAGGAUGACCACCCCCGAUAGAGGAGGACUGUUUCUCGGUCAAGGGUAUACGAGUAGCUGCGCUCCCCUGUUAGAACCUCCAAACAAGCUCCCAAAUGGGCACCAAAGCCAGAAUCAGCAGUGAAUAAUCAGCUCACGUUU